rnacentral:rRNA from 1 species
AAACCAACCGGGAUUGCUUAGUAACGGCGAGUGAAGCGGCAAAAGCUCAAAUUUGAAAUCUGGCGUCUUCGACGUCCGAGUUGUAAUUUGAAGAAGGCGACUUUGUAGCUGGUCCUUGUCUAUGUUCCUUGGAACAGGACGUCAUAGAGGGUGAGAAUCCCGUGUGGCGAGGAUCCCAGUUAUUUGUAAAGUGCUUUCGACGAGUCGAGUUGUUUGGGAAUGCAGCUCUAAGUGGGUGGUAAAUUCCAUCUAAAGCUAAAUAUUGGCGAGAGACCGAUAGCGAACAAGUACAGUGAUGGAAAGAUGAAAAGAACUUUGAAAAGAGAGUGAAAAAGUACGUGAAAUUGUUGAAAGGGAAGGGCAUUUGAUCAGACAUGGCGUUUGCUUCGGCUUUCGCUGGGCCAGCAUCAGUUUUAGCGGUUGGAUAAAUCCUCGGGAAUGUGGCUCUGCUUCGGUAGAGUGUUAUAGCCCGUGGGAAUACAGCCAGCUGGGACUGAGGAUUGCGACUUUUGUCAAGGAUGCUG